rnacentral:snRNA from 1 species
UGGUUUUGAGUUGGAAUCCCAU